rnacentral:ribozyme from 1 species
AGUCAUUGACGUCGCCGACUCUUGCAAGACCGGUGCUGCCACCAACAUCAUCUUCGGACUUGCCCUUGGUUACAAGUCUUGCAUCAUCCCAUGCUGUGCUUUGGCUGUGACCAUCUACUUCUCCUACGCCUGCUCUGGAAUGUACGGAAUCGC